rnacentral:rRNA from 1 species
UACGGAGGGGGCGAGCGUUGUCCGAAUUUACUGGGCGUAAAGCGCGCGUAGGCGGGGCGUUUAGUCGGUUGUGAAAGGCGGAGGCUUAACCUCUGGACUGCGACCGAUACUGGCGCUCUUGAGUGCGGGAGGGGGAAGCGGAAUUGCUGGUGUAGCGGUGAAAUGCGUAGAUAUCAGCAGGAACACCGGUGGCGAAGGCGGCUUCCUGGACCGUAACUGACGCUGAGGCGCGAAAGCCAGGGGAGCGAACGGG